rnacentral:rRNA from 1 species
AUGAGGCACUAUAAUCGUCAAGAGUCCAUCCAUGUGGCUAUUGAGAAGAGAGAAGGGCGGGAAAGAAGUGAAGAAAGGGACAUGAGCAUCAAAGAAAGAACAAACCGGGGGCCAAAACUCAAGAUGGAGGGGAUCUACUUGGGAAGAAAGAAGGAAAUGAGAAGAGCCAAAUCAGAAAAGUGGCAGACUAGAGGAGGGGUCAAAAUCCCUAGCAGCAGCCCUGAUCCCCUUUGGGCCUGGCAUAUCUAUCUCUCCCUCAUCCCACCUUCUCCACCACCAACCGCCGCCAUGGCUAGGCCGGCGUGGCGGCACUCCACCACGCCAACAACACCCCCCACCACUAAGCGCUGCUCCACCACUUCACCAUCGCCAUCCACCACUUCCACUCCUCCCUCUUGCUUCGCCCCUGCUGCUUCUCUUCUUCCCCAUGCCUCUACUACCGCAUCUCCCUUGCCACGUCCCUAG